rnacentral:rRNA from 1 species
GUUCAUUCAGUAGCAAUACUGAAGAAGAUCGAGUGGCGAACGGGUGAGUAGCACGUGAGCAACCUACCCCGAAGACCGGGACAACACCGGGAAACCGGUGCUAAUACCGGAUACCCCCACCGAAUCGCAUGGUUUGGUGAGGAAAUGGAUUCCGCUUUGGGAGGGGCUCGCGGCCUAUCAGCUUGUUGGUGAGGUAACGGCUCACCAAGGCUUCGACGGGUAGCUGGUCUGAGAGGACGAUCAGCCACACUGGGACUGAGACACGGCCCAGACUCCUACGGGAGGCAGCAGUGGGGAAUCUUGCACAAUGGGCGAAAGCCUGAUGCAGCAACGCCGCGUGAGGGACGAAGGCUUUCUGAG